UCUCCUAUGGUGUAACGGUAGCACUUCUGAUUCUGGUUCAGACAAUUGAGGUUCGAAUCCUUGUGGGAGAA
rnacentral:tRNA from 1 species